CCUUCGAUAGCUCAGUUGGUAGAACGGGGGACUGCAGAUUUAUAAUUGUGAUCCCUUGGUCGCUGGUUUUCGAAUCCGUCUCGAAGGA
rfam:Nematostella vectensis strain CH2 x CH6 NEMVEscaffold_285_Cont22394, whole genome shotgun sequence.